ensembl:snRNA U2 U2 spliceosomal RNA
AUCACUUCUCGGCCUUUUGGCUAAGAUCAAGUGUAGUUCUGAAGGUUUGAUCAAAUUCAGAUUUUACUAUUUUCUUAGAUUACUUCACACUUCAUCAUGAGUUGUGUGCCUGGUUAUCUCUAUUUGCAAUAGUUACAGCGUCUGAUGACCAUUACUUA